rnacentral:rRNA from 1 species
AUUGGAACGCUGGCGGCAGGCCUAACACAUGCAAGUCGAGCGGAUGAACGGGAGCUGCUCCCUGAUUCAGCGGCGGACGGGUGAGUAAUGCCUAGGAAUCUGCCUGGUAGUGGGGACAACGUUCCGAAAGGAGCGCUAAUACCGCAUACGUCCUACGGGAGAAAGUGGGCGAUCUCGGACCUCACGCUAUCAGAUGAGCCUAGGUCGGGUUUAGUAGUAGGUGGGGUAAUGGCUCACCUAGGCGACGAUCCGUAACUGGUCUGAGAGGAUGAUCAGUCACACUGGGAACUGAGACACGGUCCAAGAUCCUACGGGAGGCAGCAGUGGGGAAUAUUGGACAAUGGGCGAAAGCCUGAUCCAGCUAUGCCGCGUGUGUGAAGAACCAUAUCGGAUUUAAAGCACUUUAAGUUGGGAAGAAGGGCAGUAAGUUAUACCUUGCUGUUUGACGUUACCAC